ACUCACCUGAACCCUGCACAGCCCAGGGAGGGAGAGAAAGGAGGAAGAGAGGAGAAAUCAGAGUAGCCUUAAGACCCUCGACUGGAUCUGCCAGGAGAAGCAG